AUCACUGAUAAUCAGGUCUAAGUACUUAGACCUGCUGUGGGACAGUGUUUCUGUGGAAGAGACGGCCCAGCCUGUAUUAGCAGAGAGGUUCCCCCACUGAGAUCUCAGCUGAAAUCACUGAGAGCCAGUGGAACCUCAAGAGAUGAGCUUGCAGAGGUCACGGUAGUAGCAGAAGGGCAAUUGUGCAGGGCCAUUUGCAACAGAGCAGUGGAGUGAAUGGUAGUACAACGAACAACUGGACAGAGCAAAGAGUGAGCAGCUGGAGGAACGAUCAAGGUGCCUUCUUUUCCCCCAACUCUGAGUCUCCACUGACCAAGGACAACACCGGUGAAAGUGAAAAUGAAAAGACAAAAAACAAUACAACAAUUUUUCCACUCAAAGGCCUCAAAAACUAACCAAGGUGAAGAACACACGAAGAACCAAGAAUAUAUCAACAUGUCAUCUGAAGAUUCAAGUGGUGUAUCUAUAUCUGACCAGCCCGAAGCACAAAUACAGCUACCUACUGAAGAAACUGUGUCUCCAAAACAUAAAGGCAGUUCCCGAUGUUUGUUGGUCAAAGUGUUCCCAUUUAUUGAAGUUACAAAAGAUGGCUACUGGUGCACCUCUU